rnacentral:pre_miRNA from 1 species
UACCUUCUUUAUUCGAGAUGAGAUUUCGUCACUGAUCAACCCGCUGGCACUAGCUGAUGCAACUUCUCAAAUAAGUGAAGUG